AUUGAACGCUGGCGGCAGGCCUAACACAUGCAAGUCGAGCGAGCGGCGGACGGGUGAGUAAUGUAUGGGAAACUGCCCGAUGGAGGGGGAUAACUACUGGAAACGGUGGCUAAUCCCGCAUACCAUCGGAUGUACCCAUAUGGGAUUAGCUAGUAGGUGGGGUAAAGGCUCACCUAGGCGACGAUCCCUAGCUGGUCUGAGAGGAUGAUCAGCAACACUGGAACUGAGACACGGCCCAGACUCCUACGGGAGGCAGCAGUGGGGAAUAUUGCACAAUGGGCGCAAGCCUGAUGCAGCCAUGCCGCGUGUAUGAAGAAGGCCUUCGGGUUGUAAAGUACUUUCAGCGGGGAGGCGUUACCCGCAGAAGAAGCACCGGCUAACUCCGUGCCAGCAGCCGCGGUAAUAC
rnacentral:rRNA from 1 species